rnacentral:rRNA from 1 species
CUUGUCCUACGGGAGGCAGCAGUGGGGAAUAUUGCACAAUGGGGGAAACCCUGAUGCAGCGACGCCGCGUGAGUGAAGAAGCGUUUUGGCGCGUAAAGCUCUGUCAGCGGGGAAGAAACACGGUUCGCGAGAGCCGCGGACGGUACCCGACCAAGAAGCCCCGGCUAACUACGUGCCAGCAGCCGCGGUAAUACGUAGGGGGCAAGCGUUAUCCGGAUUCACUGGGUGUAAAGGGAGCGUAGACGGCGAGACAAGUCUGGAGUGAAAGGACGGGGCCCAACCCCGGGACUGAUCUGGAAACUGCC